GACUGGGACGCUGACUGGGACGGUAACUGGGACGCUGACGAGGACGAUGACGAGGACUGGGACUGGGACGGUGACUGGGACGGUGACGAGGACGGUGACUGGGACGAUAACGAUGACGAGGACGAUGACUGGGACGGUGACGAGGACGAGGACGAUGACUGGGACGGUGAAUGGGACGAUGACUGGGAUGAUGACUGGGACGAUGACUGGGACGGUGACUGGGACGAUGACUGGGUCGGUGACCGGGACGAUAACUGGGACGGUGACUGGGACGAUGACUGGGACGGUGACUAGGACGAUGACUGGGAUGAUGACGAGGACGGUGACUGGGACGAUAACGAUGACGAGGACGGUGACUGAGAUGAUGACGAGGACGAUAACUAGGACGAUGACGAGGACGAUGACUAGGACUAAGGC
rnacentral:lncRNA from 1 species